rnacentral:rRNA from 1 species
GACGAACGCUGGCGGCGUGCUUAACACAUGCAAGUCGAACGGUAAGGCUCCAGCUUGCUGGGGUACACGAGUGGCGAACGGGUGAGUAACACGUGGGUGACCUGCCCUUCACUUCGGGAUAAGCCUGGGAAACUGGGUCUAAUACCGGAUAGGACCAUGGUGUGGAUACUGUGGUGGAAAGUUUUUUCGGUGUGGGAUGGGCCCGCGGCCUAUCAGCUUGUUGGUGGGGUAAUGGCCUACCAAGGCGGCGACGGGUAGCCGGCCUGAGAGGGUGGACGGCCACAUUGGGACUGAGACACGGCCCAGACUCCUACGGGAGGCAGCAGUGGGGAAUAUUGCACAAUGGGCGGAAGCAUGAUGAAGAGACGCCGCGUGGGGGAUGACGGCCUUCGGGUUGUAAACUCCUUUCACCAUCGACGAAGGGUUUCUGACGGUAGAUGGAGAAGAAGCACCGGCUAACUACGUG